UGGCUCAGAACGAACGCUGGCGGCAGGCCUAACACAUGCAAGUCGAGCGCCCCGCAAGGGGAGCGGCAGACGGGAGAGUAACACGUGGGAACGUGCCCUUCAGUUCGGAACAACCCAGGGAAACUUGGGCUAAUACCGGAUACGUCCGUAAGGAGAAAGAUUUAUCGCUGAAGGAUCGGCCCGCGUCUGAUUAGCUAGUUGGUGAGGUAAUGGCUCACCAAGGCUACGAUCAGUAGCUGGUCUGAGAGGAUGAUCAGCCACACUGGGACUGAGACACGGCCCAGACUAAUACGGGAGGCAGCAGUGG
rnacentral:rRNA from 2 species